rnacentral:rRNA from 1 species
AACGAACGCUGGCGGCGUGGAUAAGACAUGCAAGUCGAACGGGAUUACUUCUGGUAGCAAUACCGGAAGUAAUUUAGUGGCGAACGGGUGCGUAACACGUGGGGAAUCUGCCGAGAAGUGGGGGAUAGCUCGUCGAAAGGCGAAUUAAUACCGCAUAUGAUCAGCCAAGACAUCUUGGCGACAUCAAAGCCGGGGCAACCUGGCGCUUCUUGAUGACCCCGCGGCCAUCAGCUAGUUGGUGAGGUAACGGCCACCAAGGCUAUGACGGGUAGCUGGUCUGAGAGGAUGGCCAGCCACAUUGGGACUGAGAGACGGCCCAGACUCCUACGGGAGGCAGCAGUGGGGAAUCUUGCGCAAUGGCCGAAAGGCUGACGCAGCGACGCCGCGUGUGGGAUGAAGCAUUUCGGUGUGUAAACCACUGUUGCCCGGGACGAACAUCCUCUUUCGAGAGGACUGACGGUA